CGUAGCUCAAUGGCAGAGCAUCCGACUGUUAAUCGGACGGUUAGUGGUUCGAGUCCACUC
rnacentral:tRNA from 1 species